rnacentral:rRNA from 1 species
GAGGAAUAUUGGUCAAUGGGCGAGAGCCUGAACCAGCCAAGUCGCGUGAAGGAUGACUGUCUUAUGGAUUGUAAACUUCUUUUAUACGGGAAUAACAAGAGCCACGUGUGGCUCCCUGCAUGUACCGUAUGAAUAAGCAUCGGCUAACUCCGUGCCAGCAGCCGCAGUAAUACGGAGGAUGCGAGCGUUAUCCGGAUUUAUUGGGUUUAAAGGGUGCGUAGGCGGCCUGUUAAGUCAGCGGUGAAAUCUAGGAGCUUAACUCCUAAAUUGCCAUUGAAACUGGCGGGCUUGAGUGUAGAUGAGGUAGGCGGAAUGCGUGGUGUAGCGGUGGAAUGCAUAGAUAUCACGCAGAACUCCAAUUGCGAAGGCAGCUUACUAAGGUACAACUGACGCUGAAGCACGAAAGCGUGGGUAUCAAACAGGAUUAGAUACCCUGGUAGUCCACGCAGUAAACGAUGAUAACUGGGCGUAUGCGAUAUACAGUAUGCUCCUAAGCGAAAGCGUUAAGUUAUCCACCUGGGGAGUACGCCGGCAACGGUG